GCUGGUAAGGUUGUGGAGAAAGAGGAAAACUUCUACACUGUUAGUGGGAAUGUAAAUUAGUUCAACCAUUCUAUAGCAAAGCAGGUUUUAUGUCCAGCACAAGACUGUGGAGGUGGGGGACUAGCUUAAUAGCCACUGCCGCUUACAGGCUGGGGUACUUACAGGUAUGGGCGGGAGGGUUCUGGGCAGUAUGAGUUGCUGCCUGACAGGACGUUAAUAAGAUAUUCCUGUGGUCAGGCAGUUAUGCCAAGGAUAUUCUUUGUACCCUUUGCCCAGCAGGGUGUGACAAGAAUGUUUCUUGGGCACACUGUCCAGCAGAAGAUGAGAGGGAUGUCCCUGUAGUCAGGUGGUUAGGCAGGAUGUCUCUCACAGUCCCAACCCCCAUGGAAUGUUUCACUUUGACCGAGGUGUACAAAAUGACGGGUGGCUUACAAAAUGGUGCACUUCGGACUAACAGAUAAGAAAAGUCUAUGGCCUUUUACCUGGAACUGCUUUUUUUCACCCUAGCUUAAUCAACAGGAAUUUUAGAAGUCUAGUUUUACCAACUGAAAUGGCAGCAACAACUGGAAGCUUGUUGCCCAAGGGGAUUGACUUGAGCUGGGAUGGAGAGUAGGACAAGAUCCUUCAGUGUUUUCAGCUAAUGGUGCUGAACUCUGCAGGAAAUGCCCAGAAAAAGCCUGGAGUUUUGCAAGUCCGAGGUGAUGACCCUGGUUGGGGAGAGUGGUACACCAGUUAAAACUUGAUAAUGGAUUACUGGAAACCAUGCAGUCAUAGAAUUGUAGAGAUCAUCCCUGCACGCAUUCUUAGAAUGAGCAGAUGUGACUUAGCAAUUGCAUAUUUGAGUGAAGAGACCCAAGUGGGCCCAGUGAAUAAAAAAGAAGGAGGUGUCUUUUAUGUUCCCGCUUCAAGCCACACACAUACACAUUGGCAGAAAGUAGAUGAUUGAGCUCAAGGAGUUUGAGCAAAAAAAAUGCCCAAGUUACUGGUAAUUACUAAACUGUGCAGCCACAGGUACGGCUUCUGGCUAAAACUUAAAAGGCAACAAAGCGGAAAUAUCAAUGGCCAAAAAGCUAGUAAGGUAUAGAUUCUGCAGCAUAAGUCCAGGCAAACUAUUAAAAGGAAAUUCAACACUCUUAGAAAAAUAAAACAGAAUCCAGAAUUAUGUAUUAGUUGAGACAUGUACAAAAAUAUAUUAUCUACAAUGCUCAUUUUUCCAUAAAAAUUCCUGAAAAGAAAGACAAAGUCAUAAACCAUAUUGAGAUAAAUCAGUGAGUGGAAGCUGACUCUGACUGUUCCUAAAUACUGGAUUUUGCUAAGAGUUUCAAGUGGUUGUCACAUAAAUGCUUCAAAGAAUAUUUAGAACUAUGAUCAAGGACUGAAAAAGGAAAACAUAAAGACAAUGACUCAAAGAAUGGGGUCUCUCAAUAGAGAAAGGGAAACUAUGGAAAAGGACCAAAUAAGAAUUCUAGUUGAAAAGUAUAAAAACAGUAUGGAAAAUUCACUGGAUAGGGUAACAGGAGUUUAAGUUGGCAGAAGCAUCAAUGAAACUGAAGAUAGUUUAAUAUAAAUUAUCAAAUCUGAAAAAGAAAGAAAAUAAUUAAAGAAAAAUAAUCAUGACCUUAGAGGUUUAUCAGUCAAUGUGAAGAACCCCAGGAAAUGUGCAAUGAGUCAGAAAGGAGAAGACAGAGAGAAAGUGGCUAAAAAUAUUUGGAGGGAUGACAAAAGCUUUCAAGAAGCAAUGAAACACAUUCAUCUAUAGAGGAAAAAAUUGAAAGAACUUAUUUAGGACAAACACAAUGAUACACAUAACUAUACAUAUUAUAAUUAAAAUGCUGAACCAAUGACAAGGAGAAAAUCUCAAAUGCAUCAUACAUAAAAUGACUCUCUACAUACAGAAAUACAGUGAUAAAGCCAUCAGCUAACUUUUCAUCAUGCCCAAAGGAGGCUAGAAAACAGUGGAAUGACGUAUUUAAAUGCUGGAAAACAAAACAAAACAAAACAAAAAAUCAAGGAUUCAGUAUCCACUGAAAGUAUGCAUUCAAAAUAAAGGUAAAGGAAAAGCAUUUCUUGAUAAACAAAAAUGAAGAGAAAUCAUUACUUAAAGACAUGCUCUUUAGAAAUUCUCUAGGAAAUUCUUCAGAUUCACAAAAAAUGAUAGCAGACAGUAACUUGAAUCCAUAGGGAGGAAGGAAGGUCUCAAAAGUACUAAGGGAGCAACAACAACAAAAAAGAGCUAAACCAAACAAACGUGUUUACUUCCAUUCCUAUGAGGUUUCAUGUAGAGAAAUCCAAUCUAUCUGGACAGACUUCAGAAUGCCAGUUUCCUUCAUUGGAAUUGGGGAACGGCUGUUUCCUGAAAGGUAGGUGCAUGAGGGAAGAAUCUGGAGAUUCUGAAGUAUUUUACAGUUGAAUCUGGGUGGAGAAUAUACGUAAAACUUUAUUCAUUGGUAUUAUUUAACAUUUCUGUCCUUUACUUUGUGUGUGUUUUAUUUCAAUUUUUUAAAAAUUGAAAGGGCCAAAUCUGAACUCUUUUAGACAAAAAUGAACAAAAACAUAAGAAUUAGUAAAUAUUUGUGGAAAUUUGGCCUUAUUAACAAGAAGUAUAAAAUGUGCCUGGGAAAGUGCUAUGAAACAAGAAAUCUAUUAGAGAAGACAGAAGGAAAUACUUCAAUUUCUCCCACAUGGGCAGCAUAGAUUUUAUGCCUAUUGGUUUCCCUCUGAACAGAGAAGAUAUUUUGCACAGAGAAGUCAUUUUGCUCACAAGAGAGGCUCCCACCCUCCCCUUGGCUCUUUCCACCCCACUGCACCCACCAGGUGAUUUGCAUAUUGUGCCCUAGGGAGGACCUUCCCUUUGUAGUCUGAGAUAAAAGCUCAGCUCUAAGCUUAUCUUGACUGAUCAGGACUCCUCAGUUCACCAUGAGGCUCCCUGCUCAGUUCCUGGGGCUGCUAAUGCUCUGCCUCCCUGGAUCCAGUGGGGAUGUUGUAAUGACUCAGUCUCCACUCUCCCUGUCUGUCACUCUUGGACAGCCGGCCUCCAUCUCCUGCAGGUCUAGUCAAAGCCUUGUACACAGUGAUGGAAAAACCUACUUGAAUUGGUUACAGCAGAAGCCAGGCCAACCUCCAAGGCGCCUAAUUUAUCAGGUUUCUAACCGGGACUCUGGGGUCCCAGACAGAUUCAGCGGCAGUGGGGCAGGGACAGAUUUCACACUGAAAAUCAGCAGAGUGGAGGCUGAGGAUGUUGGAGUUUAUUACUGCGUGCAAGGUGCUAUAUGUGACAUCCAGAUGACCGAGUCUCCAUCCUCGCUGUCUUCCUCUCUACGAUCCAGUGGGGAUGUUGUGAUGACUCAGUCUCCACUCUCCCUGCCCGUCACCCCUGGACAGCCGGCCUCCAUCUCCUGCAGGUCUAGUCAAAGCCUUGUACACAGUAAUGGAAACACCUACUUGAGUUGGUUACAGCAGAAGCCAGGCCAACCUCCAAGGCUCCUAAUUUAUAAGGUUUCUAACCGGUACUCUGGGGUCCCAGACAGAUUCAGCGGCAGUGGGGCAGGGACAGAUUUCACACUGAAAAUCAGCAGAGUGGAGGCUGAGGAUGUUGGGGUUUAUUACUGCAUGCAAGGUACACACUGGCCUCCCACAGUGGUACAGCCCUGAACAAAAACCUCCCUAUGGGGUGGCCCAGCUGCCCACAUGUGGUGCUUGACUGGGGAGCAGCUCAGCGGGGUCUCAGAAUCUGUGUAAGAGGAAGAUGCUGGAGAAGCAGGAGACAAUUCACAGCUGAGGACUCUGGACUUUGAGAGCCCAGCCACACCGCAGGCACCACUCCUUUAUGCCCUGCCAGUUACCACAACCUUUACUGUCAUAAGCAGCAGGAGAAUGAGGGGUUCAGGUGCCCUGGGAGUAAACAAGCAAGAUGGAAGGGAGAGGAGAAUGAAAGCUCACCCUAACGCUCCCUGCCUUGUGUACAUUUGCCAAUUAAAUGUAAUCAGCAGAGCAGACAGACCAUUGACACAGAUUGUGACUAUCCAUGUUGGAUACAUCUUCGGGUUUAGCAGUUGAGGACAUUUGAUAAUAUUUAAUAUUUGUAUUUUGCCAGUUUUCUAACUUUCUGCUUCCCCUAUUCUCCCACUCCCAAAAGGCAGUAGAGACAACAAUCUAUACUAGUUACCAUAAGGGGAAGCUGGCUGAGGAUAGUCAGUGAAAACCUUAAUUUUGGAGUAUCAAAUAGAUUUUUGUAAAUUCAUGGAAGAUACAAGAUCCUAAUGCUAAAACUGUUUAAUUAGCCUUAGUUACCUUUUAAUGAUAGAAAAAAUGAGUCCCUGAAAUUGCAAAAGUUGUUUUCAAAAAUAAAAAGCAUACACUGGAAAAUGUAGAGUAUGUAAUUUUUCCCAUAGAAAACUGGAAAAGUACAGAAUGAUGUGAACAUUUUUACUUCAAAAUGUUAAGAAUUUCAGACUGGGCAGACUACAGGGAUGAAAGCGUGAAGGAGACAUAGGAGAGGUCAGCUUCAGUCAAACUGCCCUUGGCCUUUGGUAGGUAGGGAUGUGGACGGUGGUGGAGUUGGCAGUUCAUGAUGUGGACCCAGGAGGCCUGAUACGUUUCUUGUGAAGAAUCCCAGAGUUGAAGGCACCACUACCUGGCUUCCUGGGUGGAGCCUGCAUCACUGCGAAUUUCCUGGGAAAAUAGUGCUUUGGGAAGCGUUUUAGAUCUGUAACCACCAAAGGCUUACUGAAAUCGCUGUGGAAAGAGACCUGAGGUCCUGUUGCUCAUAUCUUGUCAACCCAACACAGCCAAACAGAGCAUCUGAAACUCAUUCUGGCCCUAGAGACUGCUGGUUGGGUCUGGAGAUGUCACAAGCACUGACAUGCUGAGCAGAAGGCCCAGCAGGGUCUACACCAGCAGGGGGCGGGCAGUGGGGGUGGAGACCGGUGUCCAUGACUCAGACAUGUAUUCGGGAUGCUCUGUGCAGCCUUGGGGAUUGGGGGAGCACAUUGUAUCUGUGGGAGUUUUAUGUCCUUCUAACCCAGCACCUCCAUCCCUGCCUGCUGACUCAGACCUCAACACGUGUCCCAUGGAAAGCACGGGGCACAUACAGAGGCUGCCCUGUGCAACCCCCAAGGCUCAGGUGGAUUCUCCUUUCCCAGGAGAACUCCUCUGCCUGUGCCAAGUCAGAGCUUGUGUCCAUAGGCAAACUUGGCGACUGUGGCAGGAGGACAAAAAGUCAGGUGUGUCAAUUCAACAAUGAAAGGUUUGUACUUUUUGCAGUGAUUGUUUUGGCCUUUCCACUUUUCUCUACUUCACUGUACCUGAGAAUGAAGAUUCCUUCCAUUGUUUUAACACAAGUAAAUUUUAGAAGUCACUACGUUGGUACUAUUUGGUCAAAAAAAGGAAAAUAUUUUCAAACAAUAAAUGGAACAUAUUAUUUUCACUGUGUCUGGUCAGUACUUGGACAUAAACCUGAUUCCCACAUUCUUGUAAUAGUUAUAUAAAAAAUACACGCUUUCCAUAGAUUCAGUUUAAAAUAGUACUCUAUGAAUAUCUGUGAAUUAGUAAUGAGCCU